rfam:Candidatus Burkholderia kirkii TZHbot1, WGS project CAFE01000000 data, contig: bkir_c25
GUACGUCUUCAGGGCGGGGUGUAAUUCCCCACCGGCGGUAUGUGGCAGGCCUUGCGGCCGGUCGCGAGCCCGCGAGCGCCCGCGCGAGCAGCAUGCGCGGGGUCAGCAGAUCUGGUGAGACGCCAGAGCCGACGGUCACAGUCCGGAUGAGAGAAGAUGUGC